UACGUAGGGUGCAAGCGUUGUCCGGAAUCAUUGGGCGUAAAGCGCGCGUAGGCGGCCUCAUAAGUCCGUUGUGAAAGUCAAAGGCUCAACCUUUGAAAGCCGAUGGAUACUGUGAGGCUAGAGUCCGGAAGAGGCGAGUGGAAUUCCUGGUGUAGCGGUGGAAUGCGCAGAUAUCAGGAGGAACACCAAUAGCGAAGGCAGCUCGCUGGGACGGUACUGACGCUAAGGCGCGAAAGCGUGGGGAGCGAACGAGG
rnacentral:rRNA from 1 species